UAAGGAAUAUUGCUCAAUGGGAGAAAUCCUGAAGCAGCAACGCCGCGUGGAGGAUGAAGGGUCUAUGACUUGUAAACUCCUGUAAAGAAGGAAAAAAUUCCCAUUUGAUGGGAGAUGAUGGUACUUCUGGAGUAAGCCCCGGCUAACUACGUGCCAGCAGCCGCGGUAAUACGUAGGGGGCAAGCGUUGUCCGGAUUUACUGGGUGUAAAGGGUGCUCAGGCGGAUUUGUAAGUCAGAGGUGAAAUCUUACAGCUUAACUGUGAAACUGCCUUUGAUACUGCAAACCUAGAGUAUGGAAGAGAGUGAUGGAAUAUCUGGUGUAGCAGUGAAAUGCGUAGAUAUCAGAUAGAACACCAAUGGCGAAGGCAGUCACUUGGUCCAUUACUGACGCUAAAGCACGAAAGCGUGGGUAGCAAACA
rnacentral:rRNA from 1 species